rnacentral:rRNA from 1 species
AUUGAACGCUGGCGGAAUGCUUUACACAUGCAAGUCGAACGGCAGCACGGGGGCAGCCCUGGUGGCGAGUGGCGCACGGGUGAGUAAUACAUCGGAACGUGCCCGGUCGUGGGGGAUAACGUAGCGAAAGUUACGCUAAUACCGCAUACGAUCUGAGGAUGAAAGCGGGGGACCUUCGGGCCUCGCGCGCUCGGAGCGGCCGAUGUCGGAUUAGGUAGUUUGUGGGGUAAAGGCCUACCAAGCCGACGAUCUGUAGCUGGUCUGAGAGGACGACCAGCCACACUGGGACUGGGACACGGCCCAGACUCCUACGGGAGGCAGCAGUGGGGAAUUUUGGACAAUGGGCGCAAGCCUGAUCCAGCCAUUCCGCGUGCAGGACGAAGGCCUUCGGGUUGUAAACUGCUUUUGUACGGAACGAAAAGGCUCUGGCUAAUACCUGGGGCUCAUGACGGUACCGUAAGAAUAAGCACCGGCUAACUACGUG